UAGGGAAUCUUCCACAAUGGACGCAAGUCUGAUGGAGCAACGCCGCGUGAGUGAAGAAGGUUUUCGGAUCGUAAAGCUCUGUUGUUGGUGAAGAAGGAUAGAGGCAGUAACCGGUCUUUAUUUGACGGUAAUCAACCAGAAAGUCACGGCUAACUACGUGCCAGCAGCCGCGGUAAUACGUAGGUGGCAAGCGUUGUCCGGAUUUAUUGGGCGUAAAGCGAGCGCAGGCGGAAUGAUAAGUCUGAUGUGAAAGCCCACGGCUCAACCGUGGAACUGCAUCGGAAACUGUCAUUCUUGAGUGCAGAAGAGGAGAGUGGAACUCCAUGUGUAGCGGUGGAAUGCGUAGAUAUAUGGAAGAACACCAGUGGCGAAGGCGGCUCUCUGGUCUGCAACUGACGCUGAGGCUCGAAAGCAUGGGUAGCGAACAGAUUAGAUACCCUGGUAGUCCAUGCCGUAAACGAUGAGCGCUAGGUGUUGGGGACUUUCCGGUCCUCAGUGCCGCAGCAAACGCAUUAAGCGCUCCGCCUGGGGAGUACGACCGCAAGGUUGAAAC
rnacentral:rRNA from 1 species